AAAAGUAUAAUACAUGAGAUCGAUCAUGAGCAUUUCCGUUAUGCAUAAGUUAAUUUUGUAGCUAGUGGGUUAAUAAUAAGUUAGUGGCAUGGGUUAAUAAUACAUGAGAUCGCUCUGGUUUUUGCCAAUUUAUAAGCUAAAGUCAGGGAUUAUACCCCUAUAUAGAAAGGAAAAACAACUAAAUGCUAUAUGGAUACUCAUCAGUCAUCACCAGAAGAAAAAAAGAAAAAAAAAUUAGUGAGUCGGAGGAAAGCCGAAUAAGACAAGGUAGGUACAUUCUCAAAUUAGAAAAUUUCAUCUAAGUCACAUUCUCAACAUUUUCUCUCACACAAGUCCACUCUUAUUUUUUUACCCACAUAAGUCCACUUUUUAGCCCAAAUCCAUUAGAUUUGCUUUACCCUAUACCUAAAAUACCCCCUAUCUCAACUAAAAUCAUCUUCACAUAUUCUUCGUCCGUUUCUUUCAUCAAAGAAACUCUCUCUCUCUCUCUCUCUCUCUCUCUCUCUCUCUCUCUCUCUCUCUCNNNN
rnacentral:lncRNA from 1 species